UCCAGCGGCGAGAACCCGGAACCGGAAACCAGCCCGGCCGGCCUGGCCUCUGACCUGCGGCUGCGAGAUAUCGCGUCUGCGUCAAGUUUGUCGUCAUUUGUUCCAGCCACAGUAGAAAACGAAUACAGAAUACACAAAAAGGUUUUAAGAAUACAGACUGAAAACUGAAAAAUAGAACUUAUUGAAAUUAAGAAUUUAAUUUUCAUCAAAGACACUGUAGAAAGAGAGUAAAAGCAGUUUAUGAUUUGUCUUUAUGGCCUGAUGACAAGACAAUGCUGGUCACAUAUGGGGUUUUUGAGCAUUUACCACAUUAACUGGAGAGAAGAUCAAGAUGGAAGAUGAGAAACACCGCCAGACAGAGUGUCUCUGCAGAAAAGACAGAUUCUAGUAGAAAUUAGAAGAAAGAAACAA